rnacentral:rRNA from 1 species
UCGGCGGAUCAGCCCGCUCCCGGUAAAACGCGGACGGCCCGCCAGAGGACCCCUAAACUCUGUUUCGUAUAUGUGACUUCUGAGUAAAACCAUAAAUAAAUCAAAACUUUCAACAACGGAUCUCUUAGGGUUCUGGCAUCGAUGAAGAACGCAGCAAAAUGCGAUAAGUAAUGUGAAUUGCAGAUAUUCAGUGAAUCAUCGAAUCUUUGAACGCACAUUGCGCCCGCCAGUAUUCUGGCGGGCAUGCCUGUUCGAGCGUCAUUUCAACCCUCAAGCCCUCGGGUUUGGUGUUGGGGAUCGGCGAGCCCUCUGCGGCAAGCCGGCCCCGAAAUCUAGUGGCGGUCUCGCUGCAGCUUCCAUUGCGUAGUAGUAAAACCCUCGCAACUGGUACGCGGCGCGACCAAGCCGUUAAACCCCCAACUUCUGAAUGUUGACCUCGGAUCAGGUAGUGAAUACCCGCUGAACUUAAGCAUAUCAAUAGUAUCAAUAGCCCGGAGGAAAUCUUUCCGGAGUUUACAACCUCCAAACCCCUGUGAAACUAACACUUG